GACGAACGCUGGCGGCGUGCCUAAUACAUGCAAGUUGAGCGAUGAAGAUUGGUGCUUGCCCCAAUUUGAAGAGCAGCGAACGGGUGAGUAACGCGUGGGGAAUCUGCCUUUGAGCGGGGGACAACAUUUGGAAACGAAUGCUAAUACCGCAUAACAACUUUAAGCAUAAGUUUUAAGUUUGAAAGAUGCAAUUGCAUCACUCAAAGAUGAUCCCGCGUUGUAUUAGCUAGUUGGUGAGGUAAAGGCUCACCGAGGCGAUGAUACAUAGCCGACCUGAGAGGGUGAUCGGCCACAUUGGGACUGAGACACGGCCCAAACUCCUACGGGAGGCAGCAGUAGGGAAUCUUCGGCAAUGGACGAAAGUCUGACCGAGCAACGCCGCGUGAGUGGAGAAGGUUUUCGGAUCGUAAAACUCUGUUGGUAGAGAAGAACGUUGGUGAGAGUGAAAAGCUCAUCAAGUGACGGUAACUACCCAGAAAGGGACGGCUAACUACGUG
rnacentral:rRNA from 1 species